GUUAAAAGGAAGUCUUGGGCCACAUGUCUCAAUCGGCUAUUUGGGGCCAUGUGGAAGAAGAAGAAGAAGGAAUUUUCUCAGAGCAAAUAAAACAAAUCAAAGCCUGUAACAAUGAUCAAGUCUAAAACUCCAAAACUCCUGUGAACUCAAGGGCUUCACGCUCAGGACAGAGGCCCGCACAGAUAGCAAGUUCCUAACAUGAUCGCAUCCACGGGAGGAAGGAGCUUGGGAAAACAUCAUAAGUUGUCUCCUAUACCCUUUGAGAAGACU
rnacentral:lncRNA from 1 species